UUUGAUCAGGCAGGAUUUGGAAACUACCAACUGUACAAUAUUCAGAGACAGGUUUAUGGAUUUCAUUUUUACAACAGUUAAAAAUACCUCACAGUUCAAACAGAUCCACUAAUUAAUUGCAUGUCACUUUUUAACACUGGUUUCCCACGAGGAGCCAUAUAAAACCAAAACUUAAUCUAGGAAAGGUGUGAAUUGGGAAUAGAGCAAGAUUAAACUGAAAAACUCCUUUUAAGGUAGCACAUUGCAAUGAUAAGAAGAUAUCUGUUAUAGAAAUAAAGCACAACUAAGAGGAGAAAUUAGCAUGGAUACUCAUCCUAAAUUGGAUAUGAAUUGUAUGGCUUCUUUAUUUUAAAAUAUUGGUACUUCCCAAAUUGAAACUUUUCUACAUUAAGGCAAAAAAAUAUACAUUUCAAAGCACCAUUAAGGGUUUUGUGAUCCUGGGCAUUGCUUUACUUAUUUAUUUUAAUUAAUUAAUUUAUUUUUGGCUGCGUUGCGUCUUCGUUGCUGCACGCGGGCUUUCUCUAGUUGGGACGAGCGGGGGCUGCUCUUCAUCGUGGUGCACGGGCUUCUCAUUGCGGUGGCUUCUGUUGUGGAGCACGGGCUCUAGGCAUGCAGGCUUCAGUAGUUCUGGCACACGGGUUCAGUAUUGUGACUCGCAGGCUCUAGAGCGCAGGCUCAGUAGUUGUGGCGCACGGGUUUAAUUGCUCUGCGGCAUGUGGGAUCUUCCUGGACCAGGGCUCGAACCCCUGUCCCCAGCAUUGGCAGGCGGAUUCUUAACCACUGUGCCACCAGGGAAGGCCCAUAUUUAUGUUCUUUAAAAUCAUCUGCAAUUUGACCAUUUUGGGAGGCUUGUUAACAGUGAAUUAUGUCUCCAUUCCCUCCCACUAUACUGGAUUGGUCCCUGAGGUGGAGCCAAGAAAUCAGAUUUUUUACAAAACUGCAAAGAUAACCUAUUGCUAAGAUGUGAGAAUCACUAUUCAAAGGGUUGUUCAAACAAAAUAAUGUAUAGUUUUGGUGUGCUACCACCUGGUAAACGCAGGUGUUUAUCACAGGAGGCCCACAGGCUUAGAAGUAUGACUAAGAAAAAGCAGAUUAAUUUCCACCUGCUUUUUAAAAACAGUGGCUCUUUUAAACAGUUAAGUACAAUAGUCAGAUAAACUGAUGUUUAAAGAGAGGAGAAGUUUCGGGAAGAGUUUCUAGAAAGAUCACUAGACUUUAUAAAGACCUGUCUUCAAUGCUGUGAUUUAUCAGCUGCGUGACUGGGAAGUAUGUGACUUAACCUCUGAACCUUAGUUUUCUCAAGUAUGAAUUAUGAAAACAAGCCCUAUCUUAAAUGAUUCUGGUUAGAAUAUAGUGAAAUAUAUGGCCUAAAAACCUGUUAAGUAUCAUGCAAAUGUUUGAAAUAACUACUGUUUUUUUUCAAUAAUCCUGAACAACACUUCACAACUUAAUUUUGCUCUAAAUUAAAGAAUGACCAGAAUGCUUUCAAAGUUUUAUAAAUCCUUCCUGGUCUUGAUAUAUACUGCUAAAUCUUUAAGGGAAUUAGGGCAUGAAAUCUGCUGUUUAUCAAAUGUUACUGUCUUGACCUUUGACCAUAAGAAAGCUUUCAUCAUCUGCUACAAUAGACAUUUUACUUUGCUUUCAGAAAUUGUCAGAGCUUCUAUUUUUGUCCUAACAUGGAGCAGAAGGAAGGGAAGGUUAAAAGUUCAUUAAAUACAACCUCAGUGAUAAAGAAAAAAGCAUACAAGUUUUCUCCCCAGUCAGACAAAUUUACUUUUUGAAAAGAAUCCUGCAAGAAUUUCCACUAAAAUUCCACUAGUUACUUUUCACAUCCAAUUUUCUUUCUCCCGUGUUUGCCUCAGCCUAUUUCACACUACUGCUAUAAUAGUGUUAGUUCAAUUUUUAAAGAACCCUAAAAUUAUGAGAAACUAUUUAUAUACCAGAUCAUCUCAUUUUAAUCCUACUCUGGUAAUUUGCCCUAAAGAUGAACAAGUCAUCUCUCAGCCCUGGAUUUCUAGUAAAGUACAUAGACAGAUUUUGUGUAAUAAUUUUAAAAACUUGUAUCCAGAGCAAAGCCCAGCUUUGAAAAAAGGUAUUGACCAGAGGUUUUCAGGGAUUGGUGCAGUUUGAGAAACUUCACUGGUGUGCCCCUGAGUCAGGACGUUGGCUUCAGUUGUCCCCCAGAAUUUCAUUCCUCUUCCACUAACUGUUGGGGUGCCAUGGAGUAAGCUGUCAGCAUCUGGCACACUACCUUCUCAGCUGACCCGCUAUCUACCUGUAGCCCUCCCAGAAAAUACUGGGCAAAGUGGAGGCAAUACUACGAAAGCGUGAAAUCCAAGCAAAUGUAAAUCAGCAUUUUCAGGGCACAUGGAGAAAAGAAGGAACACCAGCUCACCUCCAACAGACAUGCCAAGUAGAGGACUUCCGUAACAGUGAAAGGCAGGGGCCAAGGCUCAGAGCCUUUGCACAAGAAACAGCCCAGGAGCCCAAAUGGACUAAGAAGACACCAGGUUCCAACUUGUUUGGGGAAGCCCCCAGUUGACAAGAAGUGUGGUUCCGUAGUUAUUGUCACAAACCAUCCCAAAGCUGAUCUUCUCCAUCCUGGAUGUUGCACUGGGACCCUCACCCUCGCCAGAUCUCAGUCCCAGCAGUGAGAGAAACUCCAGUCCCUGCGAAGAUCUGUGGUUAGAUGACUGAACCUGCUCUCGCCCAGCACACAGAAUGAAGUAGAGACCUGCAUCGACCAGCUGGACGAGGCAUAUAGAAACUGAAGCUCAAUACAAUUCUAGGUUGUUAUUCAGGUAGAAAUGCACAGCAGCAUGCAAAAUGGAGAGUGUUCUGAAACCAUGGAGACAUUGGGGUGCUUCCUUCUGUCCUAUGGAAGAAAGUGGGGAGCUGUGAGAAUCAGAGUCGUAGGCUUUGAGGAGAAGCUGGACACAUGUUUUUAGGAAAAUGACCCAAAAAGGAGCCCCCAAGAUUAUCCACGUGAGGUUGAUGAAUGCCUCCACCCCAGGGACACUCACCUUUCCAAUCCCUAGUCUCGUCAGGGUGCUCUUACCUGCAGUAGGUAAGAGCAAAGGCAAUCAGCGGAGGCUCCAUCAGCCCACGAUGAAGAGGACCCCCAAAGAAAAAUGUUUAGAAAACCAUAUGGGCCCCCUCUAUGUGAACAGUCUGUCAGAAAUGUCUGCCUCCUUACAAAGAAUCAGACUAGUCCCAACGUAUCUUAAUAGCUUCAUGAGCUUCUGCGCAGUCAGGAAAUUGAUUUUCUGUUCUCUCCUGACUCCUUCUGGACAGUGGAACUCAGUUAUCAAGCUUUACUUCCUGGUCUCCCAGUAACCCUAUUUGGUGAAAUUAGAGUUAGGAGUUUAAUUCAAUGUAGUAUAAAGCCCAUGAGAUUGGCUUUAUGGUUUCAAGACCUCUGCUAAGAAACAGAAUCCUGCGAUCUCUAUUCCUCUUCCAAAAAUUGACGGAAAGGUGGGGCAGGGCGGUGGAGUGGGCUGGGAGUCGGCACAGCUCUCCUGAGUUCUGUGCCCCCUGCACCCUGAACUGCUAUGCUUUGAGCCCUUUCAGGGCUAGAUAUCUAUCAGCCUAUUCUGUGAAGCUUGACUGGCACCUAUCUUCAAAAAAAAAAAAAGAGGGACUAUUAGAUUUCUUUUCCACGCUGUAUAAAAAUAAAGUGACGAACUGAGCCAAAACACAAAUAGCUGACAUUCUUCAGGCACCUCCCAAGUGGGAUGCAGUUUACAUGCGGCAUUUAAUAUAAUCCUACCCUCGGCCAGCUGCAUGGGUACAUGACCCAUGUAGUUCACAGGGGCCCACUCUUAGGAGGGCCCCUGCACUUGGCUUACUGCUCUGCUGUUGUUGUCAUCUUGAGAUUCUUAAUGUCUUCUGAGCAAGGAAUUUUCGUUUUGCACUGUACCCUGCAAAUUAUAUAACCAGUUCUAUCCUCACCAUAACUCUGUUGUUUGGUAGGUAUUGUUGAUCCUAGGGAAACCAAUGUUCAGAGUGGGUUCAGAACCUCACCCAAGUUCAUACAGAUGGAAAAUGGCAGAGCUGGGAUUUGAAGCCAGGUCCCUGCUGCCAACCCCAAAUCCAUGCUCUGUUGAUUCAGUGGUGCUGCCCUCCUGACUUGGUUGUCUAAUUCAAGUCAGCCCAUCUCUCUGAAUUAGGAUAUUAAUUCUGGACACUACAGGUUAAAGUGCAUUAGCAGGUGGGUUUUUCCCCUUAAUUAUCAAGAUAAUUACUUUAGAACUCUAAAUAGUUCUGAAUGUGUAGUAUUUAUUUUCCGACAAAAUGUUUUCCAGCUAAAUCUGCCAGAUUUUGUUUUUGAAACCUAGGCAAUCUUUUUAUCCUCAUACACUUUUUUGUUUUGUUUUGUUUUGUUUUGUUUUUGUUUUUGCGGUACAUGGGCCUCUCACUCUUGUGGCCUCUCCCAUUGCGGAGCGCAGGCUCCGGACGCGCAGGCUCAGCGGCCAUGGCUCACGGGCCCAGCCGCUCCACGGCAUGUGGGAUCUUCCCAGACCGGGGCACGAACCCAUGUCCCCUGCAUCGGCAGGCGGACUCUCAACCACUGCGCCACCAGGGAAGCCCUACCCUCAUACACUUUUAAAAUGGCAUUACAGAUGUCAACAUGAAGAACACUUGCUCUAUAACAAAAUUACAUUUCUUUCCAAGAUGUAGUGAUUUAAUAAUUAAAACAAUAUCCAUGAAAUAUAAAUACAAGGUAUUCAUAAAUAAAUUAAAUUGGAUUGUGGUUUCUAAGAGCCAAUUAUCAUGUAAAAUAUCUCUGUUGGUUGAAAUAAUAUGAGAGCAGAAUAUCAAUUCUGACAUUCUCUAUAGGCCAUUGUUAUAAAUUGCUAGAAUGGUCUAAUAGGUUAUGGAGUUUUAUUGAGGUUUGAGAUGGUCCUUAAAAUAUUCAUUAUGUGUUAGAAAUUAGUUGUCUUGAUUGAUUUUAGUUAUAAUUCAAUUAUAUGUUUACAGCAUGGGAGAAGGAGGGGUGCUGUAGAACUGAGAAGAAAAGUCUGUUCUACUUAUGAAAUAAUAGGAACUAAGACAGUGGCACCAUGAUUAAGAAGUUCAGACAAACCUAGAUUUGAAUCCCAGUUUCACCACUUUCUAACUGUGUGACCUUGAACAAUUUACAUAAGUUCUCAAAUGUCUUCAUCUAUAGAAAAGGGUUGUAAUGAGGAAUAAAUUAGAUAAUGCAUAAAGCACAGAGCACAAAGCACUCAGCAAGCCCUAAAAUAAAUGCUAGUUCUUAUGAUUUCUGCUGCCACAAAGGGGGGAUUGAAGGGUUUGGGAAUACAGCCCUUUCCUACCUCAGUUAUUUUGCAUCAACUGAAAUCUUAAGGGCCAUAACAAUUUCUACAGCAAUAACUUGAAACAUUAGUGGGAUAAAUCAGUGGUGUGUUGGUAGGUGGCAGGGAGAGUCAGGGAGCCCGGAUUUCUAGUGCUUCCUGUUUCCAUGGUGUAAAUACUCCAUCAAGCUACCAAAGCGUUGCUGCUGAACGUGGAGUUGGGAAGGGAUGCAUGCACUCACUUCUCAAGAACUGCUGUGACCUGGUUCCACGCCCACUGGGAAACCAUGGGUUCCAGUUCUGGCUCUGCAGCAAUCAAAUUGCAUGACCCUGGGCAAUUCCCACCAUCCCUGGGCCUCAGCUUCUUCAUCUGUAGUAGUACCUAUCUGGCAUGCCUCAUAGGGUGGAUGUGACAAUGAAAUAAAUAAAGGACAUGAAAAACUAUUGAACCUGUGAAACAGUGGAGAGUAAAUUGGCAGUAGUGUUGAUGCACAGACUCCUGUAAUUACAGAGGGAGCUUUGUCUGAUUUUAAGGUCCCAAGACCGGCAAUUCCUUUGUCUUUUGAUCUGCUGCUCAGCUGGGCACUCCAGCUCCUGGUUUAUUUACCUUAAUCUUUCUUUUUUUCCUUCUCUCUGACCGUUUAGCUUAUAAUGGUUAUCUGCACAAUUAACAUAAUAAAGCAAGUUAGAUAGGCUCUUUCAAGCCCUAGGGAACAAAAACUGGCUCCAGUUUCUUGAGGCCUAAUGUGAUCUGAGAAGGAGAUUGAGAAACGGCAAAGCGUGCCCCACCCACCCUUGGAGCUCAGGAACAAGGGUUCCUUGUCCUUCAGGACCAAUGGCUGUCCUGGUGACCUGAUCACCUUGUUUUCCCCUUAGUUCCCGACUCUAGUCCCCCUGACAGUCAAGAAACUCUCUCGGACUUUCCUGGUGGCGCAGUGGUUAAGAAUCCGCCUGCCAAUGCGGGGGACACGGGUUCGAGCCCUGGUCUGCGAAGAUCCCACAUGACACAGAGCAGCUAAGCCAGUGCACCACAGCUACUAAGCCUGCGCUCUAGAGCCCACAGGCCACAACUACUGAAGCCUGCACGCCUAAGAGCCCGUGCUCCACAACAAGAGAAGCCACCACAAUGAGAAUCCUGUGCACUGCAACGAAGAGUAGCCCCCGCUUGCCCCAAGUAGAGAAAGCCCGUGGGCAACAACGAAGACCCAAUGCAGCCAAAAAUAAAUAAAUAAAUUUAUAAAAUAAUAUUUUUUUAAAAACCUCUCUCUCUGUUUUAUCUACUCUUUAUGGCCCCUCACUGUGGCCGCUUCUACUUCAACUACAAUGAAAAACAGUGAGUGUCAUGGUAGGAGCAUGAGUCAGGCUGCGGGGCCCAGAUCUCAGUGUCACUGGGGGCUUCCGUUGAGCUGGUUGUGUAACAUUUCUGAGCUUCAUUCUCUUUGAAACAGGAGGGAAGGGGGCAGGGCACAACUUUUAAAAGAAUGACAUAGCCUGAGGACAUGACAUAAGCUGAUUAGGCCCAAGAUGGCAGACGGUUGACUUCUACUAGAAGUAUACACUCACUGUAACACAUCAGCAAGCUAAAUGACACACCCACAGGUGCCAUGACAGUUCCAAGGCUGACCAUAAAGGUCAAAAAUUAGGCAGUGGCCCAAUUCCUGGAAGUCCCGUCCCUUCGCAAAAUAGCUAGAAUACUCCUCCCACUCAUUAGCCUAUGAAAUUACCCACCCCUAUAAAAACUGACAACCCCAUACCCUGGUGCCACUCUCACCUUCUGAGAUGGCCCACAGUCUGUCUGUGGAGUGUGUUUCUCUCUAAAUAAAUCUACUUCUUACCUAUCACUUUGUCUUUCACUGAAUUCUUUCUGUGACAAACAAUCAAGAACCCGAGCUUCAUUAAGUCCUGAGACUAUGUGUCUGAUCUAAAUUAAAAGACCAUGGGUUCCUGGUGGCACAGGGGUUGGGAGUCCGCCUGCCGAUGCAGGGGACACGGGUUCGUGCCCUGGUCUGGGAGGAUCCCACAUGCCGCGGAGCGGCUGGGCCCGUGAGCCAUGGCCGCUGAGCCUGCGCGUCCGGAGCCUGUGCUCUGCAACGGGAGAGGCCACAGCAGUGAGAGGCCUGU